rnacentral:rRNA from 1 species
ACGAACGCUGGCGGCGUGCCUAACACAUGCAAGUCAGGGAGAAAAGGGUAGCAAUAUCCUGAGUAAACCGGCGAACGGGUGAGUAACACGUAGGCAACUUACCUUGUGAACGGGAAUAACCCCGCGAAAGCGGAGCUAAUACCCGAUGAAGUUCCGUCGUAGCAUUGCGAUGGAAUAAAAGGCCCCAAAAGGGCGUCACAAGAUGGGCCUGCGUCCCAUUAGAUAGUUGGCGGGGUAACGGCCCACCAAGUCGACGAUGGGUAGCUGGUCUGAGAGGACGACCAGCCACACUGGAACUGCGACACGGUCCAGACUUCUACGGAAGGCAGCAGUGAGGAAUAUUGCUCAAUGGGCGAAAGCCUGAAGCAGCGACGCCGCGUGAGGGAUGAAAUCCGUUAGGAUGUAAACCUCUUUUGCAGGGGAAGAAUGUCCGCCUUAGGCGGAUUGACGGUACCCUGUGAAUAAGCACCGGCUAACUACGU